GGUUAAGCGACUAAGCGUACACGGUGGAUGCCCUGGCAGUCAGAGGCGAUGAAGGACGUGCUAAUCUGCGAUAAGCGCCGGUAAGGUGAUAUGAACCGUUAUAACCGGCGAUUUCCGAAUGGGGAAACCCAGUGUGACUCGUCACACUAUCAUUAACUGAAUCCAUAGGUUAAUGAGGCGAACCGGGGGAACUGAAACAUCUAAGUACCCCGAGGAAAAGAAAUCAACCGAGAUUCCCCCA
rnacentral:rRNA from 6 species